rnacentral:misc_RNA from 2 species
AAUUCUCAACUUCGAAAGGCUUUUUAUGGUCUUCUGAAGCUUGGAUGUUGGAGGAUUAUGCAGGCAUAUAUAAUUGUAUGUCAGCUCCUCUUAAAUGUAUUAGCAGAACUUGAAUGUUUGGCUCUGGUUUGAUAAUAAUAUCUAUGCCAUUGCUGAGAAGUCAAUAGGUUCAGCUUCUAAUGGUCCAUUUGGACUGUCUCUUUAGAGGCAUCACAUUUG